AUUCGAUUAGAGUUUGAUCCUGGCUCAGAUUGAACGCUGGCGGCAGGCCUAAGACAUGCAAGUCGAGCGAGAAAGCCCUUCGGGGUGAGUACAGCGGCGGACGGGUGAGUAACGCGUAGGAAUCUACCCAGUAGUGGGGGACAACUAGUGGAAACGCUAGCUAAUACCGCAUACGCCCUAAGGGGGAAAGCGGGGGAUCUUCGGACCUCGUGCUAUUGGAUGAGCCUGCGUAAGAUUAGCUUGUUGGUGAGGUAAUGGCUCACCAAGGCUACGAUCUUUAGCUGGUCUGAGAGGAUGAUCAGCCACACCGGGACUGAGACACGGCCCGGACUCCUACGGGAGGCAGCAGUCGGGAAUAUUGCGCAAUGGGGGAAACCCUGACGCAGCCAUGCCGCGUGUGUGAAGAAGGCCUUAGGGUUGUAAAGCACUUUCAAUUGGGAGGAAAAGCUAAUGGUUAAUAGCCAUUAGCCCUGACGUUACCUUUAGAAGAAGCACCGGCUAACUCCGUGCCAGCAGCCGCGGUAAUACGGAGGGUGCAAGCGUUAAUCGGAAUUACUGGGCGUAAAGCGCGCGUAGGCGGCUCUUUAAGUCGGAUGUGAAAGCCCCGGGCUCAACCUGGGAACUGCAUCCGAUACUGGAGGGCUAGAGUGUAGGAGAGGGAGGUAGAAUUCCAUGUGUAGCAGUGAAAUGCGUAGAUAUAUGGAGGAAUACCAGUGGCGAAGGCGGCCUCCUGGCUUAACACUGACGCUGAGGUGCGAAAGCGUGGGGAGCAAACGGGAUUAGAUACCCCGGUAGUCCACGCCGUAAACGAUGUCUACUAGUUGUAGGGGUACUUGAGACCUUUGUAGCGCAGCUAACGCAAUAAGUAGACCGCCUGGGGAGUACGGCCGCAAGGUUAAAACUCAAAUGAAUUGACGGGGGCCCGCACAAGCAGUGGAGCAUGUGGUUUAAUUCGAUGCAACGCGAAGAACCUUACCAGGCCUUGACAUCCCCGGAACUUUCUAGAGAUAGAUUGGUGCCUUCGGGAACCGGGUGACAGGUGCUGCAUGGCUGUCGUCAGCUCGUGUCGUGAGAUGUUGGGUUAAGUCCCGUAACGAGCGCAACCCUUGUCCUUAGUUGCCAGCACAUAAUGGUGGGAACUCUAAGGAGACUGCCGGUGACAAACCGGAGGAAGGUGGGGACGACGUCAAGUCAUCAUGGCCCUUACGGCCUGGGCUACACACGUGCUACAAUGGCUAGGACAGACGGCUGCAAACCAGCGAUGGGGAGCUAAUCCGACAAACCUAGUCGUAGUCCGGAUUGGAGUCUGCAACUCGACUCCAUGAAGUCGGAAUUGCUAGUAAUCGCGAAUCAGAAUGUCGCGGUGAAUACGUUCCCGGGCCUUGUACACACCGCCCGUCACACCAUGGGAGUGGGUUGCUCCAGAAGUGGUUAGUCUAACCUUCGGGAGGACGAUCACCACGGAGUGAUUCAUGACUGGGGUGAAGUCGUAACAAGGUAACCA
rnacentral:rRNA from 1 species